AGCCCAUGGUAUGGACAUCUUCUAAACAGAUCCUUAAAUCGUUCCCAAGCCUCAUAUAAGGAUUCACCAUCAAAUUGUGUGAACGAAGUUAUAUCAUUCCUCAACUU
rnacentral:snoRNA from 1 species